rnacentral:rRNA from 1 species
UACGGGGGGUGCGAGCGUUGUCCGGAAUCACUGGGCGUAAAGGGCGCGUAGGCGGCCAGCACAAGUCAGUUGUGAAAUCUCCGAGCUUAACUCGGAAAGGUCAACUGAUACUGUGCGGCUAGAGUGCAGAAGGGGCAACUGGAAUUCUCGGUGUAGCGGUGAAAUGCGUAGAUAUCUGGAGGAACACCGGUGGCGAAGGCGACGUCCUGGACCGGCAUUGACGCUGAGGCGCGAAAGCCAGGGGAGCAAACGGG